rnacentral:rRNA from 1 species
UCCACGCCCUAAACGAUGAUUACUCGCUGUUGGCAAUAUAUCGUCAGCGGCUAAGCGAAAGCAUUAAGUAAUCCACCUGGGGAGUACGAUCGCAAGGUUGAAACUCAAAGGAAUUGACGGGGGCCCGCACAAGCGGAGGAACAUGUGGUUUAAUUCGAUAAUACGCGAGGAACCUUACCUGGGCUUAAAUGUAGGACGAUCGUUGCCGAAAGGUGGCUUUCCUUCGGGACGGA